rnacentral:rRNA from 1 species
AUACGUAGGUGGCAAGCGUUGUCCGGAUUUACUGGGCGUAAAGGGUGCGUAGGUGGUUUCUUAAGUCAGGAGUGAAAGGCUACGGCUCAACCGUAGUAAGCUCUUGAAACUGGGAAACUUGAGUGCAGGAGAGGAAAGUGGAAUUCCUAGUGUAGCGGUGAAAUGCGUAGAUAUUAGGAGGAACACCAGUAGCGAAGGCGGCUUCCUGGUCUGUAACUGACACUGAGGCGCGAAAGCGUGGGGAGC